rnacentral:rRNA from 1 species
GAUGAACGCUGGCGGCGUGCCUAAUACAUGCAAGUCGAGCGAAUGGAUUAAGAGCUUGCUCUUAUGAAGUUAGCGGCGGACGGGUGAGUAACACGUGGGUAACCUGCCCAUAAGACUGGGAUAACUCCGGGAAACCGGGGCUAAUACCGGAUAAUAUUUUGAACUGCAUGGUUCAAAAUUGAAAGGCGGCUUCGGCUGUCACUUAUGGAUGGACCCGCGUCGCAUUAGCUAGUUGGUGAGGUAACGGCUCACCAAGGCAACGAUGCGUAGCCGACCUGAGAGGGUGGUCGGCCACACUGGGACUGAGAACCGGCCCAGACUCCUACGGGAGGCAGCAGUAGGGAAUCUUCCGCAAUGGACGAAAGUCUGACGGAGCAACGCCGCGUGAGUGAUGAAGGCUUUCGGGUCGUAAAACUCUGUUGUUAGGGAAGAACAAGUGCUAGUUGAAUAAGCUGGCACCUUGACGGUACCUAACCAGAAAGCCACGGCUAACUACGUGCCAGCCGCCGCCGUAA